UGGCAACAUCGCAACCGACCACGUCGUCACGGUCACCUGACUUUUCGUAGAAACGCGACGCUAUCGUGUGCGCGGAUAAGCAAUGAGGAAAGUACAUAACGAGAUCUCUUUCUCGUAAUUGGUGUACGUAACAAGGUGAUUCUGCGAGAGCUUGAACGCGUACGGAGACCGGAAUAGCUGGGACACGUCGUAUAUAUCACGUGGCCUGGUAAAACAAGUGCGUGGCAAAAACGUUUUGACGAGUGGUACGAUCGUGAAUAUGGAUUACGAUCGAAACGCGUCAAUGUGCUAGCGAACAAUAAUACGAUAACUGGACUCCAUCGAUCGAUUAUCGGUUGGUUUAUUUCCACGAACAUGAUAUUUCAUGAUGCGCGACUGUGCCUCGUGACGACCGAUAUCGGUUUAUAAUUGUAUUAUACGUUACAUUGUACGGCGUUCUCGCUGAGAAACAUGAAUACAAUCGGCUAUUCUGAAAAAUAAGCAGAAAAUACGGCUUCAUUGCUAUUAUACCGAAGCGUUAAUUAGGUUACGGCUAUGGACAUCGAUAAAUUGCUCUUUUCUUGUCAGAAAAUUAUUCGAGUGAGUUUAUUGCAUAAUUCAAAGAUGAAUAUAGAAUGUACACAUAUUACGCGUAUACGGAAAUGCAAAAGCCGUUUCAAGUAUUCUGAUUAAUUUCAAUUCAGAAAUAAACUUUAUCGAGUAUUUCUUUUUUUUUUUUUUUUGAGCGUUGAGUGCGUGUCUACAACAACUUGUUUCAAUUUUGUUCGAAACUAUUCAGAACGCGUAUGAAGGUGGAAUAUUUUAUUGAAUUAAUAAUCCGAUUUAUUCCGCUUUGUGAUACGAAGGAAUAUUGGUAAGCGUGUUUUAUAUUAGAAAAUGCACGAAUUUAGAAAACUAAACUUCUUACUACCUAUAAACAUUUAUUAACAACACUUAUCUACUUUAAUAAGCAUAUUUCAUAAGUUUUAUUCAAAACUUUUAAAAUUGAAGCGUUAAUUAUUACCAAAGUUUUAUUAAGAAUAUUAUUUCAUAGUUUAAAAUUAUCUUUAGUGAUUUAAAAUUGAAUUAUCACCAGAGAUGAAAAAAAUUUAAAACAAAUAAGUUUAAAUAUGUUUAUUUUUUUAAUUUUUGAAUUGUAUUUUUUUGUAGAUUUUUUAAACACAUUAUUCAAGUUAAAACGAAUAAAAAAAGUAUUAUGAAAUACAACGUGAUAUGUCAACCUUGACCAUAACAUUGUAAGAGGUUAAGGUUCAAACGACUAUAUCCGUAUAGAAUCAUAAUUAUUUUUGUUAUCAUAUACAUUUUUUAAAUUUCGUUUACAUUUUUUAAAUGUAUCUAAAAACAGUGAAAAAUAAAUUAUUGCGAUAAUUAUGUAUUUAAUAUCUUAAAAUAUUAAUAUUUUAAGAUUAUACAUAUAUAUAUAUCAAAAUAAUUUCUACUUAAUAUUUUACUAUUUCAUAUGUACAUUAUAUUGCAUGUUUUCGUAUAAUAUGAAAAUGAUGUAUUACAUACAAGCAUGAACGAUGAUUGUACAUACUGAUAAAUGAACACGGCAACAACGCAUAAAUCGAACAAUAGUAACCAACCAGUCACAAAAUGAAGGGAUGCGGUGUGAGAUUAGAAUGGACAGAGAAUCGUAAUGAAUAUACGCAGAUUGUACGUGAAUUUUGUUAGGAAAAAGAGAUAAUGGAACAGCCGUUCGUCCGUAACAACAUUGAAAUGUCGUUUUACCUGCUUCCUGUGACGUGCAAUUCAAUUAAUUCUUGGGACGUGACUCAUCGCAAAAAUCAACAUUUAUACAUAUCACUUUAGGGACUAAAAUAUUCAACUGUUUUAACUUUGAAAUUUUUGCAAUUCGUGUAGAAAAGACCUUAGACUUUUAGAUAUAAACGACUUUAGAUAUAAAAUGUGUACUUUUCAUUAUGCAAAUGAGAAACACAAUAGAAUACGAUCUAAAUUAAUAAUUAUGCUAAUUUAGACAUUGCAUAAUAUACGUACUACUAGUUCAUUAAAAAAAAAUAAUCAUUUAAAAGGAACGAGGAAGGCAAUUUUGAUUUCUUAUAAUUAAAUAUUUUAUUUUUCUCAAAUAUAAAUAUAUAUAUAUAUAUAUCUAAUGAAGAAUUUUUUCGAAUUUUAACAUUAUAUGUGUAAAACAUGAACGAAACUUACCCGUGCGAGGGAAACCUGUGCUGAAGAUGCUGUGGUUCGUAGUAUUGUGUGGUAAGGGCUCGUUCGUCCAAGGUAUGUUCAGUCGCGUGAGCCUUCGCUGCGGACUUGAUAUCCAUGAACGCCACCGUCGCGGAGGCACCCCCGGUGUUGCCUGAGGAACCACUGCCCCCGCCACUACCACCGUUGCCAGAAUUGGAACCGGAACCACCCUCGUUACCUUCUCCGAGGGAACCACCGGAACCUCCAUCCACGGGGCAUUCUUCGCCUCGCGGCAGCAACUUGACGCUCUGCACGCGUCCAUAUCUGUAAAUAUUCAAUAUAAUAUUAUUCACAUUUAUUCAAUGGAAUUCGUUUUAUUUUUGAGAUUUAUGGUAAAUUGUGAAAAAAUUAUGGUUAAGAAUUCGAAUAAUUAUCUCUAUUAUCAUCUUAAGAACUUAUUAAAUUUUAGAAAAAUGUUCACUGAUGAAAAUUAUUAAUAUUAAACUAUUAUAUACUAAUAAAUUAUAUAUAUAUAUACGAUUUAAUAGCAUUUAGGUUUAUUGAAUUAUUCAUGACAAAAAAAAGAAAAUAUGAGUAUAUAUUAAUAAUAAAAUAAAUUCAUUAUCGUUUGAUAUCUAUUGUGAAAAUAAGCAAUAUUAAAAAAAAAAAAUAAAUGUGAUAAGAACUAAAUGUGAUAAGCAAAAUAAAAAAAUCUUUAAUCAAAUAAAAAUCUUCAUCAAUGUUUUAUCGCGUAAUUUGGAUCACAAAAAAAGCGCGUACUAAUGCUAUAUUAGAAUUAAUGAAAAGCAAAAAACAUAAGGAAACCGAAUUCACAAUUCUCAAUUCUGAAUUUCUUUUGAUAAUUUACGAUAUUUAUAUAUUAAAAUUCAAUAUAAUUUAUUUUAUAAUAACAAAGUUGUCAUUAAUUGCUCAAAAUUUUUGAGAUCGAAUUACUUUUUUUUAAUGUAUAUAUGAUAGCAGAUAAAAAUUUUAGAAAAUACGAUAUAUAUUUUACAUUUUGGUCGAUCGCAAUUUGUAGGCUUAAAAAAAAAAUUUGUUUUGUUUUCAUCUUAUAAAGAACAGAGAUAUUGAAUUUCGUUGAAAUUAAAGAAAACAAAGAACCAAAGUUGUUUCUGGCACACCCUAUGUACAGAAAAGCUCGGCAAGAGUAGAAACGGACUUACUAGGUGAGGUAGGGUAACAAAUCGAGAGUGGGGAACCGAGCAUCUUGAUAGGUCGAUCAAGAGAAGAAUAUUACGCGCAAGCGCAAAGACUCCAACGGUUUCGGAGUAUCUCGGGGAGUUGUUCGUUUAAUCUCGCGUGAGUCGCACGUAUUUCCUUGUGCGUUCUUCCGAAGAAAGCCUUUGUUUUUUCUCCCGGAUCAUACACGUAGCUUUUAAUACUCAUAUCAACGGAAAAUGCAUAUCACAAUAAUCCGUUGUUUGUUCUUCACGUUCACAGGCGUCAGUAAUAACGCGAGAGAGGAAAUGCGCGAGAAUUGAACGGCACAAUUUGGAUACCAUACUUCAUUUGGAUUAACUACGCAUAAUAUUUAGACCGUUAUGAAAUCGAGGAACGGUGAACAUUUCUUAAAAUGGAAAUAUCAAAAAUUCAUUAUUUAUAAUACUUGAGCAUUUUUUAUAUCGUGAUAUAUCGGUUCAUUCCCAAUGGGGCGUGGUCAGUCAGUAACUCUUCCAUAUGCGUGUGAUUUGAUUGCGAGAAAAGGGCACGCGAAUCUUUAUAUAAUCUUAUAUAAUGAGUUUUGAUCUUCCUAAUUAUCUUGAAUAUUUCGAGAAUUCGUUCAACGAAUUGGAAUAUGCAAGAUUAUAUGUGCAAUAAGAAAAGUUGCUUCUUUUCAGAAUUUGUUCUAAAAAUAUCGAUCGGCAGAAAUUAAUUUUCUGACUUAUUUUGAUUUUCUUGCGGAAAAAAAGAGGUGAAAAAAACGAAUAAGAAACAAGUUCUAAUAUCUGCGCAUCUUCGAAGAUUGCUCUUACAAAAUGGCAGCCAUAGCAGCAAUGUGCCGUUUACAAGCGAAUCAUUUCUAUUUUCUAUUUCGCGUAUCUUCGAAAAUGCAAUAGCAAUCGAUAGUAUAUGUUCUUCUCAUGGAUAUUCGGGAAUUAUUUAAUGUGUGAUAUAUGUGGAGUGUUAUUUCGAAAUUUUGUUUCUUUGUUACGAAUACAAUCAAAUACAAUAACUAUGGGUGAAAUUUUAUUGACAAUAAAGUGAAUAAAAAAAAAAAUGAAAAAAAAAUCAGUGAAUAUAAACGAAAGAAGAUCGAUAAGUUAAUUCGCAAUAUCAUUAUCGGAUAUUAUUCUGCGUGACAUUUACGAAAGAGGUCCGAUCGCAGUUGUGUUGUGCCUGUAAGACUUUCAUCCCACCCAAUUCUCAUUCGGCUUCCCCCUCCCUCUCCUUGUUUUCCUAUCUUGACAUUCUCAUGUGAGAAACGGAUGCGCGCGCAUAUAGCGACGCACACAAUCGAGAAGCAACACUGUAAAGUCUUUUAUGCGCACAUACACCACAGCUACGUUCUUUUCUUUGACACACAUGAGUGAAAGCGGGUGAGAGGGGAGUGACGAGAGGAGAAGAAAUAAGAUAGAAGGCCAGAGGAGAAAGAAGAGGGAAGAAGCAAGUGCCACGGUGGCUAGCUAGCUGGCUGGCUAGCGAGCCGCAAACCGUAUCCAUAUUCUCCUUCAGAUCCCCGCUCGCGCUGUGCUUGUCGAGGAAUUUUACUUCGGCAGACUCGUUCCCAGACUUGAUUCUUUCGUUUCUUUCGUUUCUCUCUAUAAGCGCCAAAGUAUGGCGAGAAUUCUAUGUGAAGAUAUUAGCAUGACUUUCCAUAAAUUUCAAGUCUUUAGGUCAGAGUCAUAUUUUCUGUUCAUAUCGAUGUGGAUUAUACAGCUCUAUAAUAUAUUGAUAAAUCAUUCAUAUCUAAUUCGUUUAAAAAAUUAUUCACAAGUGUACGAAUAGAAUAUAUAUAUUCAUUGUGUAUAGAGAGAAAAAUAGUGAUAAUUUUAUAAGACGCUUGGAGUGUGUGAUAUUCUUCAUUUAUUAAAUUUCGAAUUUUGAGUGA